UACAGAGGUCUCAAGCGUUGUUCGGAUUCAUUGGGCGUAAAGGGUGCGUAGGUGGCGUGGUAAGUCGGGUGUGAAAUUUCGGAGCUUAACUCCGAAACUGCAUUCGAUACUGCUGUGCUUGAGGACUGGAGAGGAGACUGGAAUUUACGGUGUAGCAGUGAAAUGCGUAGAGAUCGUAAGGAAGACCAGUGGCGAAGGCGGGUCUCUGGACAGUUCCUGACACUGAGGCACGAAAGCUAGGGGAGCAAACAGG
rnacentral:rRNA from 1 species